rnacentral:tRNA from 1 species
CCCUGCAGCGCAAUAGCGCAAUGGAUAUCGCGUUGGACUUCUAAUCCAAAGGUCGUGGGUUUGAAUUCCACGUGGGGU